CUGAGCUGGAAUGGAAGGAACACAACAUGGAAGACAAGAAUGAACAGAACAUAAAAUACUAGGGCAGCAGGUAGUCUAGCUAGCAGUUAGAGCAUUGGGUCAGUAACCAGCAGGUAGCCUAGCUAGCAGUUAGAGCAUUGGGUCAGUAACCAGCAGGUAGCCUAGCUAGCAGUUAGAGCAUUGGGUCAGUAACCAGCAGGUAGCCUAGCUAGCAGUUAGAGCAUUGGGUCAGUAACCAGCAGGUAGCCUAGCUAGCAGUUAGAGCAUUGGGUCAGUAACCAGCAGGUAGUCUAGCUAGCAGUUAGAGCAUUGGGUCAGUAACCAGCAGGUAGCCUAGCUAGCAGUUAGAGCAUUGGGUCAGUAACCAGCAGGUAGCCUAGCUAGCAGUUAGAGCAUUGGGUCAGUAACCAGCAGGUAGCCUAGCUAGCAGUUAGAGCAUUGGGUCAGUAACCAGCAGGUAGUCUAGCUAGCAGUUAGAGCAUUGGGUCAGUAACCAGCAGGUAGUCUAGCUAGCAGUUAGAGCAUUGGGUCAGUAACCAGCAGGUAGUCUAGCUAGCAGUUAGAGCAUUGGGUCAGUAACCAGCAGGUAGCCUAGCUAGCAGUUAGAG